UCAUGGAACUAAUAAGUACUACGUACAACUGGAAUGCGUACUAUAAACUUAUUUUUAACCAAAUUUAAUCCUUAUUACACAGACAUAAGGACCACUACGCACGCAUUAUAAAAAUGAAGCCGAGUGAGAGAGCGACAACUGACUGCGGUGUUCCUUUCUAACAGUAGUCUUUGUGUUGCCAUUUCACAUUUAACAUGAUACUACAAAUUUGGUAUGUUUAAAAAAGAAAUCGGAAAAAUGGUUAAACAAUCGAAUUAGUCCCCUCCUAUCCUCCGAUUAAAAUUUCAAGCAUUUAGAAAAUUAGUACGUCAAUAAUUCUCUUGUUUUCGUGUUGAAGUCGGCAAUCCUAGUAGUAAUAAAAUAAAAAUGUUGCAACCAUGGUAUUAUUAUGUACUAUGAUGGUUGCAACACAAACUGUCAUUUUGAUGAAACUUACGAUCGACGAAAUUUCUCAAGAUUGCGUGAAUAUAUCUGUAAUAAAAAUGGCGAGAAUAUGCAUCGUGGAAGCUUGUAAAAGUGAAUAUUAUCCGGAUUGUGGGUUAUCUUAUCAUAAAUUACCAAAAAAUGAUACAUUGCGUGAAAAGUGGUUAAGCAUUAUACCUAGUGGUAACAGAAAAGUGACCCAAAAUUCUGUAAUAUGCAGCAAACAUUUCAUGCCAGAGGAUUAUAUUCCUAAUUUAUCACGGCCUGUUUUAACAAAAAAUGCUCUUCCCUCACGAUUCCUUUUGGUAAGCAAGAUCAAUUUUAUUUUUAUCUUGAAUAGGUACGUUUACAGAUAAUGAUAAAAAUCCAGUCCGUAACUGUUCCACUACUGGGCAAGGGCCUUUUCUUACAAGGAGAAGACAUGAGUAUUAAUCACCACGCUUGCUAACUGCAGGUUGGUGAUAUCAGACUGUCAAGUCCAGGUUUCCUCACGAUGUUUCCUUCACCGUAUGUGUGUGGUGUCUCUAGCUACGGAAUGAAAUUAAAUACAUUUUCAAACAUGAAGACUGGCAUAGUGAUGAGAUGAGUCAAAGAGAGACAAAGAGUUAAAAAUAUUUUUUGUAUGAAAAAUUUGAGCAUGUUGAUAAUUUUAUAUGCCCAGUAUGUUCAAUAAGUCAAAUAAUUAUGGUUCGGAAAUCCAAAUAUGUAUGGUUCGAGGAGUGAUUUAUAUUUCGCUUCACAGUAAUACCAGUUUUAUUGAAUUUUUCCGACUUCAAAAAAAAAAAAAAAUU